rnacentral:lncRNA from 1 species
AUUAGAUUCUACACUGUCACUUUCUGAAAACUAUCAGAUUUAGUUUUAGGAGUUGUGGUUUGUUUGUAUCACCGCAAUUUUUAUGCAGUGAAUACUCAGAUUAGUGUAGGAUGAAUUUACGCUCGUGUUGGGAUGCCGAGUUUAUUUUACAAUAGUGUGUAGACUGUUUUGGACUGUCGGGUGCUGUCGCGGUUGACAGUGGACCUAGAUUGUUGUUUUUGCAUCGGAUU